AGUUUGAUCAUGGCUCAGAACGAACGCUGGUCGGCGUGCCUAACACAUGCAAGUCGUACGAGAAAAGGACUUCGGUCCUUAGUAGAGUGGCAGACGGGUGAGUAACACGUGGGCAACCUGCCCUCGAGUGGGGAAUAACUCAGGGAAACUUGGGCUAAUACCGCAUGAAGUCACGGACUCUCUGGGGUCCGUGAUGAAAGGUGGGGAUCGAGAGACCUACCGCUCGAGGAGUGGGCCCGCGCCUGAUUAGCUUGUUGGUGAGGUAACGGCUCACCAAGGCGACGAUCAGUAGCCGGCCUGAGAGGGCGAUCGGCCACACUGGAACUGAGACACGGUCCAGACUCCUACGGGAGGCAGCAGUGAGGAAUCUUGCGCAAUGGGCGAAAGCCUGACGCAGCAACGCCGCGUGGGUGAUGAAGGCCUUCGGGUCGUAAAACCCUGUCAGGUGGGAAGAACGGAUAGCGGGCCAAUACCCCGUUGUCUUGACUGUACCACCAGAGGAAGCCCCGGCUAACUCCGUGCCAGCAGCCGCGGUAAUACGGAGUGGGGCCACGCGUUGUUCGGAAUUAUUGGGCGUAACAGGGCGCGU
rnacentral:rRNA from 1 species